rnacentral:rRNA from 1 species
GACGCAGAGAUGCCGCUUCCCGCUGCGCAGGCUGGGGGCGGCCCCGGUGGCGGCGCGGCGGCCGUUCUCCACCGAGCUGAGCGACCUCUUCGCCCCGUCGUCGUCGGCCUCGAAGCGCCGGUCCCGGGGCCCCGUCAUGGCCGCGAAGAAGGCCGCGGAGGGUGCAAAACAAGAAGAUGGGAAAUACAAGCACACGGUGGAUCUCCCAAAGACGAGUUUUGGCUUGAGAGCAAACUCUGUUAUGCGCGAACCGGAGCUCCAGAAGUUGUGGGAGGAGAACCAGGUGCUGAAGAGGGUGUCCGAAAGGAAUACUGGGGCCACAUUUACUCUUCAUGAUGGCCCGCCUUAUGCUAAUGGUGAUCUUCACAUGGGUCAUGCGCUGAAUAAAGUUCUCAAAGAUAUUAUAAAUCGCUACAAGCUGCUUCAGAAUCACAAGGUUUCCUUUAUUCCUGGGUGGGAUUGCCAUGGCCUUCCGAUAGAAUUGAAAGUUCUGAAGUCAAUGGACAAAGCAACAUUGAAUGCUCUAACACCUAUAAAAUUAAGGCAAAAGGCUGCAAAAUUUGCUAAAGUGACCGUUAAUGCACAAAUGAAUUCUUUCAAGCGGAUCGGUAUAUGGGCAGAUUGGGACAGCCCUUACCUAACUCUUUCGCCAGAAUAUGAAGCUGCUCAGUUGGAAGUGUUUGGUCAAAUGGUUAUGAGAGGAUAUAUCUAUAGAGGACGAAAGCCUGUCCAUUGGAGUCCAUCCUCACGUACUGCUUUAGCAGAAGCUGAGUUAGAGUAUUCAGAAAAUCACGUUUCCAAAAGCAUAUAUGCGGCAUUCAAGGUUACCAGCCCGUCUAGCUCUGGGUUGCUAGAUGAAUUUCUCCCUAAUGUUUGCUUAGCCAUAUGGACCACUACUCCAUGGACAAUUCCUGCUAAUGCUGCCGUUGCUGUGAACCCUGAGCUUAGUUAUGCAGUAGUUGAGCUCCAGUCUGUACUGGAAAGUGAGUCAACAUCUGGAGGAAAGCAACAAAAACUUGGGAGUAUUUUGAGCUCUGGGAUCGAGAAACCAUUUAUCAUCGUGGCUUCUGAUCUUGUCUCAGUUCUAGAGUCCAAAUGGGGUGUGAAGCUUGUAAUCAGGAAAUCAUUUCCUGGUUCAGUCUUGGAGCACUGUAGAUACCUCCAUCCUGUGAAUGGCAAUGAAUGUUCUGUUGUUAUUGGAGGAGAUUACAUAACAACUGAAUCUGGAACUGGCCUUGUUCACACUGCCCCUGGCCAUGGCCAGGAAGACUACCUGACAGGUUUGAAAUAUGGUCUUCCUAUUGUUUCUCCCGUGGAUGAUGAAGGGAACUUCACUGCCGAAGCUGGACAAUUUAGUGGCUUAUCUGUCCUGGGAGCUGGUAAUGCUGCAGUUGUGAAGUAUCUGGACGAACAUGUUUCACUCAUCUUAGAAGAGCCUUACAAACACAAGUACCCCUAUGAUUGGAGAUCGAAAGAACCAACCAUAUUCCGAGCAACUGAGCAGUGGUUUGCCUCUGUGGAUGGUUUUCGGGAUGCUGCACUGGAUGCAAUCAAGAGAGUAACCUGGGUUCCUUCUCAGGGUGAAAACAGGAUUGUUAACAUGAUCUCUGGCCGUUCUGACUGGUGUAUUUCCCGGCAGAGAACAUGGGGAGUUCCCAUUCCUGUUUUUUAUCAUGUAGACACACAAGAACCUCUUAUAACUGAAGAAACGAUUGAACAUAUCAAGGCUAUAGUGUCAGACAAAGGCAGUGAUGCCUGGUGGUAUAUGAAAACCGAGGAACUUCUUCCAGAUAAAUAUCGCGACAAAGCAUCUGAGUAUCGUAAGGGCACUGAUACAAUGGAUGUUUGGUUUGACUCUGGCUCCUCAUGGGCUGCUGUUUCAGCAAAACGGGAUGGCCUUAAUUUCCCUGCAGAUGUAUACCUUGAAGGUUCAGACCAACAUCGUGGAUGGUUUCAGAGUUCGCUGUUAACCAGCAUCGCUACUACAGGAAAGGCUCCAUAUUCCAGUGUUAUUACCCACGGUUUUGUAUUGGACAAAGACGGUUUAAAAAUGAGCAAAUCUGUUGGUAAUGUCGUGGAUCCUGAGAAAGUGAUUCUUGGUGGGAAAGAUUCUAAGAAAGAGCCUCCUUAUGGAGCAGAUGUUCUCCGUCUAUGGGUUUCUAGUGUUGAUUACACUGGAGAUGUGUUGAUUGGUUCGGAAAUCUUGCGCCAGAUGUCUGACAUGUAUAGAAAACUACGAGGCACAAUGCGUUUUCUAUUAGCAAAUCUCCAUGAUUGGAACCCAGAGAAUUCUGUGCCCUACAGUGAUCUGCCAAAAAUUGAUCAGUACGCACUUUUCCAACUGGAAAAUGUUGUGGCUUCCAUGAAGGAUAGUUAUGAUAAUUACCAAUUCUAUAAAAUAUAUCAGACCCUUCAGAGAUUCGCCAUCGUUGGUUUGUCCAAUUUCUAUUUUGACGUUGCAAAAGACCGACUUUAUGUUGGUGGCCGAGUUAGCUACACAAGGAAAAGCUGCCAGACAGUCCUUGCUGCACAUCUACUCUACCUUGUUAGGGCCAUUGCUCCGAUUAUGCCACACUUAGCAGAGGAUAUCUGGCAGAACUUGCCCUUUGAACACACCUUGGAAGAUGGAUCUGUUGCCAAGUUUGCUUUUGAUCUAAAAUGGCCAGAUAAGAAUGAAGAAUGGUGCUCGGUUGAAAAGGAUGAUGUUGAUUUUCUGAGUGUUAUCCUGGAGUUGAGAUCAGAGGUGAACAAGAUUUUGGAGAACGCUAGAACAGGAAAGCUGAUCGGCGCUAGUUUGGACGCAAAGGUUUAUCUCCAUGCUGAAAAUCCCGAUACGGUAUCCAAACUGAAGGAGCUGGCUUCUGCAACCAAUGAUGCAGAUGCCCUUCAUCGCCUAUUUAUCACAUCUCAGGUGGAGAUUCUCCCAUCCCUGAGUGAAGAAACCACAUCAGGUGUGUCCUAUGCGGGAAAGUUCAGCGACCCACGCACGGGAGAGAUCUGGAUCGGUGUGACUCGUGCGGAUGGCGUGAAAUGCGAGCGCUGCUGGGUUUACACCAAGGACGUUGGGUCGUUCGAUGACCAUCCUACGCUAUGCUCGCGGUGCCACGGCGUCAUUGAUCUGCAACCGCAUGCAUCUCCUGCCGCCGCCGCUGUCGCUUGAAGAGCAGCGACCUGGAUCUAACCUCCACUUCAAUGUGAAGAUUGCAGAACUCCUCCCACUAUACAGUAGAUGAAACAAUUUUGCACCUAAACUCGAUGGAUGUUGCUGAUAAAUAACAAGGCCACUGAAAAUCCAG